AGUGAAUGCUGGCGGCAGGCCUAACACAUGCAAGUCGAACGGCAGCACAGGAGAGCUUGCUCUCUGGGUGGCGAGUGGCGGACGGGUGAGGAAUAUAUCGGAAUCUACCCUUUCGUGGGGGAUAACGUAGGGAAACUUACGCUAAUACCGCAUACGAACUGAGGUUGAAAGCGGCGGACCGCAAGGCGUCGCGCGGAUGGAUGAGCCGAUAUCCGAUUAGCUAGUUGGCGGGGUAAAGGCCCACCAAGGCGACGAUCGGUAGCUGGUCUGGGCGGAUGAUCAGCCACACUGGAACUGAGACACGGUCCAGACUCCUACGGGAGGCAGCAGUGGGGAAUAUUGGACAAUGGGCGCAAGCCUGAUCCAGCCAUGCCGCGUGUGUGAAGAAGGCCUUCGGGUUGUAAAGCACUUUUGUUGGGAAAGAAAAGCGGUCGGUUAAUACCCGGUCGUUCUGACGGUACCCAAAGAAUAAGCACCGGCUAACUUCGUGCCAGCCGCCGCCGUAA
rnacentral:rRNA from 1 species